AGGUAAGCUACUAAGAGCGAAUGGUGGAUGCCUUGACUGGUAAAGGCGAUGAAGGACGUACUAGACUGCGAUAAGCUACGGGGAGCUGUCAAGAAGCUUUGAUCCGUAGAUUUCCGAAUGGGGCAACCCAAUGUAUAGAGAUAUGCAUUACCUAUAUAGGAGCGAACGAGGGGAAUUGAAACAUCUUAGUACCCUCAGGAAAAGAAAUCAAUAGAGAUUGCGUCAGUAGCGGCGAGCGAAAGCGCAAGAGGGCAAACCCAGUGCUUGCACUGGGGGUUGUAGGACUGCAAUGUGCAAGAGCUGAGUUUAGCAGAACAUUCUGGAAAGUAUAGCCAUAGAGGGUGAUAGUCCCGUAUGCGAAAAACAAAGCUUAGCUAGCAGUAUCCUGAGUAGGGCGGGACACGAGGAAUCCUGUCUGAAUCCGGGUCGACCACGAUCCAACCCUAAAUACUAAUACCAGAUCGAUAGUGCACAAGUACCGUGAGGGAAAGGUGAAAAGAACUGAGGUGAUCAGAGUGAAAUAGAACCUGAAACCAUUUGCUUACAAUCAUUCAGAGCACUAUGUAGCAAUACAGUGUGAUGGACUGCCUUUUGCAUAAUGAGCCUGCGAGUUGUGGUGUCUGGCAAGGUUAAGCAAACGCGAAGCCGUAGCGAAAGCGAGUCUGAAUAGGGCGCUUAGUCAGAUGCUGCAGACCCGAAACGAAGUGAUCUAUCCAUGAGCAAGUUGAAGCUAGUGUAAGAACUAGUGGAGGACUGAACCCAUAGGCGUUGAAAAGCCCCGGGAUGACUUGUGGAUAGGGGUGAAAGGCCAAUCAAACUUCGUGAUAGCUGGUUCUCUCCGAAAUAUAUUUAGGUAUAGCGUUGUGUCGUAAUAUAAGGGGGUAGAGCACUGAAUGGGCUAGGGCAUACACCAAUGUACCAAACCCUAUCAAACUCCGAAUACCUUAUAUGUAAUCACAGCAGUCAGGCGGCGAGUGAUAAAAUCCGUCGUCAAGAGGGAAACAACCCAGACUACCAGCUAAGGUCCCUAAAUCUUACUUAAGUGGAAAACGAUGUGAAGUUACUUAAACAACCAGGAGGUUGGCUUAGAAGCAGCCAUCCUUUAAAGAAAGCGUAAUAGCUCACUGGUCUAGUGAUUUUGCGCGGAAAAUAUAACGGGGCUAAAGUAAGUACCGAAGCUGUAGACUUAGUUUACUAAGUGGUAGGAGAGCGUUCUAUUUGCGUCGAAGGUAUACCGGUAAGGAGUGCUGGAGCGAAUAGAAGUGAGCAUGCAGGCAUGAGUAGCGAUAAUUAAUGUGAGAAUCAUUAACGCCGUAAACCCAAGGUUUCCUACGCGAUGCUCGUCAUCGUAGGGUUAGUCGGGUCCUAAGUCGAGUCCGAAAGGGGUAGACGAUGGCAAAUUGGUUAAUAUUCCAAUACCAACAUUAGUGUGCGAUGGAAGGACGCUUAGGGCUAAGGGGGCUAGCGGAUGGAAGUGCUAGU
rnacentral:rRNA from 1 species